rnacentral:rRNA from 1 species
GCUUACGGCCACACCGCCUGGUUCACGCCUGAUCUCGGAAGCUAAGAUAGGUUGGGCUUGGUUAGUACUUGGAUGGGAGACCGCCUGGGAAUACCAGGUGCUGCAAGCU